rnacentral:rRNA from 1 species
UAACGGGGCUAAACCAUGCACCGAAGCUGCGGCAGCGACGCUGAUGCGUUGUUGGGUAGGGGAGCGUUCUGUAAGCCUGCGAAGGUGGCCUGUGAGGGUUGCUGGAGGUAUCAGAAGUGCGAAUGCUGACAUAAGUAACGAUAAAGCGGGUGAAAAGCCCGCUCGCCGGAAGACCAAGGGUUCCUGUCCAACGUUAAUCGGGGCAGGGUGAGUCGACCCCUAAGGCGAGGCCGAAAGGCGUAGUCGAUGGGAAACGGGUUAAUAUUCCCGUACUUGGUGUUACUGCGAAGGGGGGACGGAGAAGGCUAUGUUGGCCGGGCGACGGUUGUCCCGGUUUAAGCGUGUAGGUGUGUGUUCCAGGUAAAUCCGGUUCACUUUAACACUGAGGCGUGACGACGAGGCACUACGGUGCUGAAGCAACAAAUGCCCUGCUUCCAGGAAAAGCCUCUAAGCAUCAGGUAACAUCAAAUCGUACCCCAAACCGACACAGGUGGUCAGGUAGAGAAUACCAAGGCGCUUGAGAGAACUCGGGUGAAGGAACUAGGCAAAAUGGUGCCGUAACUUCGGGAGAAGGCACGCUGACACGUAGGUGAAGUGAUUUACUCAUGGAGCUGAAGUCAGUCGAAGAUACCAGCUGGCUGCAACUGUUUAUUAAAAACACAGCACUGUGCAAACACGAAAGUGGACGUAUACGGUGUGACGCCUGCCCGGUGCCGGAAGGUUAAUUGAUGGGGUCAGCGCAAGCGAAGCUCCUGAUCGAAGCCCCGGUAAACGGCGGCCGUAACUAUAACGGUCCUAAGGUAGCGAAAUUCCUUGUCGGGUAAGUUCCGACCUGCACGAAUGGCGUAAUGAUGGCCAGGCUGUCUCCACCCGAGACUCAGUGAAAUUGAACUCGCUGUGAAGAUGCAGUGUACCCGCGGCAAGACGGAAAGACCCCGUGAACCUUUACUAUAGCUUGACACUGAACAUUGAGCCUUGAUGUGUAGGAUAGGUGGGAGGCUUUGAAGUGUGGACGCCAGUCUGCAUGGAGCCGACCUUGAAAUACCACCCUUUAAUGUUUGAUGUUCUAACGUGGACCCGUGAUCCGGGUUGCGGACAGUGUCUGGUGGGUAGUUUGACUGGGGCGGUCUCCUCCUAAAGAGUAACGGAGGAGCACGAAGGUUGGCUAAUCCUGGUCGGACAUCAGGAGGUUAGUGCAAUGGCAUAAGCCAGCUUGACUGCGAGCGUGACGGCGCGAGCAGGUGCGAAAGCAGGUCAUAGUGAUCCGGUGGUUCUGAAUGGAAGGGCCAUCGCUCAACGGAUAAAAGGUACUCCGGGGAUAACAGGCUGAUACCGCCCAAGAGUUCAUAUCGACGGCGGUGUUUGGCACCUCGAUGUCGGCUCAUCACAUCCUGGGGCUGAAGUAGGUCCCAAGGGUAUGGCUGUUCGCCAUUUAAAGUGGUACGCGAGCUGGGUUUAGAACGUCGUGAGACAGUUCGGUCCCUAUCUGCCGUGGGCGCUGGAGAACUGAGGGGGGCUGCUCCUAGUACGAGAGGACCGGAGUGGACGCAUCACUGGUGUUCGGGUUGUCAUGCCAAUGGCACUGCCCGGUAGCUAAAUGCGGAAGAGAUAAGUGCUGAAAGCAUCUAAGCACGAAACUUGCCCCGAG